AUGUUUCUAACCAUAUUCAAGCUUGUGCCCCCAUCAGCUCCACUCCCUAAAGCACCGACAGGAACCAACAGCAAAAUUCGUCUGCGUCACAGAUGUAACAUGACCAUCGGCAAAACAAGUGCAGGGGGAGAUCACGGCUCUCUCGUCCCUCACAGAGCCUCCCUUCUCCAGCAGACAACAAGAGGGACCACCUUCGUCGCUGCUGUUCCCGUUGUUCCCCUGCUCUGCGGAUCUGGCGCUGCGGGAGGCGAGGAUGCUCCGAGGGAGCCAGCCACAGCCAGCGGAGGCUCAAGCCCCCUGCAGAGGCCAGGCUGCAGCCCUGGCGAUGGGGACGGCGGCCACGCGGUGCCCGAGCCGGUGCUGAGCCCAGCGGUUGUUGCUAAACAACCAACCCUGACUCUGGAGAUGUCAGCCAGCAAGGAACAGAGAUUAAACACUCCUGCUAGCACAUCCUGAAACUUGGGUGCGGUCCCUGCCCCAAGCAACUCACAGUGCUGCCAACACUCCAGCACCUCACAGGGGAGGAGGAAGCGAGGAGAAAAGCCCCGAAGGCCGGUUCUGUCCCCCGCACCGAGAGCUGCAGCUCUGACACGUCAUCGUCACGACCGGACAGCGGAACGAGACCGAGCGCCCGUGGGCCAGGGGCUGCACCCAGCACAGGCAGCAGGGACCAGCUCAGACCCCCUGAGAGCACCCAUGGGCCAGGGGCUGCACCCAGCACAGGCAGCAGGGACCAGCUCCUGUCCUGCCCGAGGGACAUCCCGGGAUCCCAG
rnacentral:lncRNA from 1 species